GUUUCCUUUGGCGUACAGGUAUAACGUGCGGUACGCUAAGUACCGAUCAGCGACGCGCCAUCGUGAGUUUUACCGAAAUGAGCUUGAUGGUCUCCAACACGAACAGUUCAAGUGGAGACCCUAUACACCGCCGGAGCUGGAUAUGCAUUCUCUUGCACCCAUCUGCCGAGAUAGUCCCGACUUGUGGAGAGCGAGAGUUCCAUUGAUUUGUUGGGAGAUCGUGGAGAUGCAUGUCCCUGACCGUGUGCUACGACAGUUUACGCUCUCUCAGCAUGUACCAGAUCCUGUUGAGCAGAUCUCUCGUCGGCGGCGA